rnacentral:rRNA from 1 species
UACAGAGGUCCCGAGCGUUUGUUCGGAAUUAGCUAGGGCGUAAGGCUCGUGAGCGGCCAACUAAGUCAGACGUGAAAUCCCUCGGCUUAACCGGGGAACUGCGUCUGAUACUGGAUGGCUUGAAUCCGGGAGAGGGAUGCGGAAUUCCAGGUGUAGCGGUGAAAUGCGUAGAUAUCAGGAGGAACACCGAUGGCGAAGGCAGAUCUCUGGGCCGUAACUGACGCUGAGGAGCGAAAGCGUGGGGGAGCGAACAGG